GAAGUGAGGCUACGAAUUCGCCUUAAGUUGACCUGGCUCCGAACGAACGUUGGCGGCGUGGAUUAGGCAUGCAAGUCGAACGAGCCUGCGCGGGGCAACCGCGCGGGAAAGUGGCGGAAGGGGCAGUAAGGCGUGGGUAACCUACCCCGGGGCUCGGAAUAGCCUCCCUAACGGGAGGGUAAUACCGAAUGCCCUGCCCGGGAGACAUCCCCCGGGCAGGAAAGCUCCGGCACCCCGGGAGGGGCUCACGUGGUAUUAGCUAGUUGGUGCGGUAACGGCGCACCAAGGCCGAGAUGCCUAGCAGGUGUGAGAGCACGACCUGCGCCACUGGCACUGGGACACUGGCCAGACUCCUACGGGAGGCUGCAGUCGAGGAUCUUCGGCAAUGGGCGCAAGCCUGACCGAGCGACGCCGCGUGGGCGAUGAAGGCCUUCGGGUCGUAAAGCCCUGUCGUGAGGGGGGAAAGCUGACCCCCCUCAGGAGGAAGCACGGGCUAAGUUCGUGCCAGCAGCCGCGGUAAGACGAACCGUGCGAACGUUGUUCGGAAUCACUGGGCUUAAAGGGCGCGUAGGCGGGCCGGCCGGUCGGAGGUGAAAGCCCCCAGCUCAACUGGGGAAGCGCCCCCGAUACCGCCGGCCUCGAGGGGGGUAGGGGCGUGCGGAACUUCCGGUGGAGCGGUGAAAUGCGUAGAUAUCGGAAGGAACACCGGUGGCGAAGGCGGCACGCUGGGCCCGACCUGACGCUGAGGCGCGAAAGCCAGGGGAGCGAACGGGAUUAGAUACCCCGGUAGUCCUGGCCCUAAACGAUGGGCACUAGGUAGCGGGCCCCCAUGGGACCGCUGCCGGAGCGAAGGUGUUAAGUGCCCCGCCUGGGGAGUAUGGUCGCAAGGCUGAAACUCAAAGGAAUUGACGGGGGCUCACACAAGCGGUGGAGCAUGUGGCUUAAUUCGAGGCUACGCGAAGAACCUUUCCCGGGCUUGACAUGCGCGAAAGCGUCAGGGAGUACCCUCCGGAAACGGCAGGGGAACGGUAACCAGCCCGGAGCCUGACACAGGUGCUGCAUGGCUGUCGUCAGCUCGUGUCGUGAGAUGUCGGGUUAAGUCCCAUAACGAGCGAAACCCCUGUCUCCAGUUGCCAGCGCGUCAAGGCGGGGACUCUGGAGAGACUGCCGGUGUUAAACCGGAGGAAGGUGGGGAUGACGUCAAGUCCUCAUGGCCUUUAUGCCCGGGGCUGCACACGUGCUACAAUGGCGCGCACAGAGGGAGGCGAACGCGCGAGCGGGAGCGAAUCCCAAAAAACGCGCCCCAGUUCAGAUCGGAGGCUGCAACUCGCCUCCGUGAAGUUGAAUCGCUAUAAUCGCGGUCACAACACCGCGUGAAUGUGU
rnacentral:rRNA from 1 species